AGCUACGGCCAUACAAUGCUGAAAAUACCGGAUCCCGUCCGAUCUCCGCAGUCAAGCAGCAUCUGGACCAGUCAGUACUAUGGUGGGGGAACAACAUGGGAAUACUGGUUGCUGUAGUUU
rnacentral:rRNA from 1 species